AGGGUUUGAUCCUGGCUCAGGACGAACGCUGGCGGCGUGCUUAACACAUGCAAGUCGAGCGCAUUCAGAGGUCGGUCAUCAGAGGUCAGAAGUUAGCUAUUGUCUUUUGGUUUCAAGCUGACAGGGGUUGUGGAGUUUAGCUGUUUAAUUUAAUUUCUUUUUGCGGAUGAAGGUUUGGCAGGAUUUUUUUCUGGCUUCUGACGACCGACUUCUGAGGUGAGCGGCGGACGGGUGAGUAACGCGUGGGUGACCUGCCUGGGAGACCGGGAUAACAGUUCGAAAGGGCUGCUAAUACCGGAUGAUAUCGUUUUAUUAGGGUAAAACGAUCAAAGCGUUUAGCGCUCUCGGAUGGGCCCGCGUCCCAUUAGUUAGUUGGUAGGGUAAUGGCCUACCAAGGCUGCGAUGGGUAGCCGGUCUGAGAGGAUGGUCGGCCACACUGGGACUGAGACACGGCCCAGACUCCUACGGGAGGCAGCAGUGGGGAAUUUUGCGCAAUGGGGGGAACCUUGACGCAGCGACGCCGCGUGGGUGAUGAAGGCCUUCGGGUUGUAAAACCCUGUUGCAGGGGACGAAGGAAGUGACGGUACCCUGCCAGAAAGCCCCGGCUAACUACGUGCCAGCCGCCGCGGUAAUAC
rnacentral:rRNA from 1 species